CGAGAACAUAAGGUCAAACCUUAGCUCGAUGAAAAUUCUCAAAUAAAUGAGAAUGCGUAAAAUAAAUAUGCAUGACUCAUAUUCCUUUAAUUAUUAUUCUGGGAUAAUAAUCUGAAAAAAAUUCUAAUAAUAAUCCAAACUAUAGGAUUACAGCUCGUCUUAUGAGAUUGAGUUAUUAAUCUUAAUUAAUCCACUCAUCUCAUAGGUUUGCUAACCCAUUUACUAAUUAAUAACCUCGUCCUAAAUUAAUAAAUAGCUGAAUCCAAUUAAUCAAAUCUAGACUAGUCUUUAAUCGAACUAGAAUAAAAUAAUAAGGCAACCUCAUUAUUUAAAGGGAGCAACAUAGGACAGCCCAAAUAAAUAGAUAAGGAACUGGGCCUGGAAACCAUCUAAUCAUACAGUCCAUUCUAACUCUGGCCCAGCUUAAAUAUACAGCUCUUAAAAAGAUCAGCCCAUUUCUAUUAAUACUGGUCCAAGAAUGCGGCCCAUCUGAAAUAAAUAAACUGACCUAACAGAAAGAAAUAAAAUAAUGGCCCAUAAUUAAGAAAAUAAAGGCCCAAUUCCAAUCAGCCCAUUUCUCUCUCUCAUCAAUCGGUCUUCCUCUCUCUAAUUACACACACACUCGCAGCAAACCUCUCCCUCUCUCGCUUGGUUCCGCUCACAGGCACAUGCCCAAAUCUGUCGCCGUUCGUCGAUUGUCGCAGUCGCGGCGGCGGCUCCUGAUAAUCCGGCGAAGCCUACGCCUUCAACGGCCUUGUCUUCUCUCUACUCAAGUUAUGCUCAAUCAAAAUCAGGAAUUGAACCCUAACUCCUUCAUUUCUCAAAUCGCCGCCGUCGCGGAUCUUCUCCGGCGAAGCAGGCCGCUGUUUCCGAGGCUCUAAAACUCCAGUGCCGCUUCUCUCAACCGGCGUGGUCGAUGCCUCUAAUAUCGGUGAAGAUCUGGUGCAACCGCCGCCGUCCGCCGACACGCGUGGAAGCUCUAUCGCCGGACGUCGCCGCUGCUGAGGUAACGCCGCCGCCCGGAGUUGCAGCUGCUUUGCCCGGAAUCGAGGUCGCUGGUCUGAUCUCCAGCAGCCCGCCUCGCUCCUCGUCUCUUCCACGAAGGAAAAGCAAAGCCCCAAUUCUCCCUUGAAGUUUCAAACGGGUUUUCUCCCCCAAAAUCAGAUCGGCCUUCCCUUUCAACUCCGGUCGGCUUCUCCUUCCCCGGCCGUUCAACUUCCGCCAGCUCCAUCCAGCGUUGGCUGUCUCCGUGUCUAACCCCGGCGUCGUCCCCUCUCGGUUCAGCUACGCUGCUGCUGGUUCAGAAUCGGCGAGGGUCGUUGGGAGUCGUCGUGCCCUUGGCUCUUUCUCUGAAAUCGCAGCGCCGUCACCUCGAAUCUGAAAAUCCGGCGAGGCCGACGCUAAAUUACUCAACCGGAAACAAAUUCGACUGCUCCUCUCUUCCCCGUGUUGUAGCAGAUCAGUCGUCGUUGUUGGGUCUGUAAACCCAGCGACUAGCGGUCGCCGUUUGUCCCUGGCGCCGCUCUCCCCAUUCUUCAGCAAGAUACUAUCUUGCUGAAGCCGCUGCUCCGGCUUCUGAACCAUCGCUGCCCCUGCUCGAACUCCGGCGAGCCAGCAUCAUUCAAGGCAAAGCUAAGUGAACUAUGGAAGAAUGGGGAAGUUCAAGCUACAACUUACCUCUUCGAAAUCAAGGCUGGAGUUAAAAGAAACAACCCUCCCUCUCUGAACCUUGGUGCGCCUAAAAGAAGGAAAAGAAUUAUGGCUGGUGUUGUAUUUUUUUUUUUUAAGUGAAGUUGGCUACUUGACUAUCUUAAUUCCAUAAGAGAGCUUACAAGUGAAGGAAUAGGAUUAGGUAUAAGGUGUGCGGCUGAAAGACCGCUACUUUGUACUAUAGCAUGACUGUGAGUAGGUGGCCGCAGAGUUUGAAGGAAGGGGCGUGCUGUAACAGUAAUUGAUGUUUCUUUCACCUUUUUGUUGCACUCACACGUUCUCUUCUUUCCUCCUUUUCUCUUUUCCUUCUUUUGAUAAAGUUUCAUACUUUUUCUUUUCCUUCUUCUUUUUGCACUAGAUAGUGAAUAGUAGUGUAGAAAUGAUUGUUGAUAGUAUUUGUUGGAGAGCAUGCGUGUAGUAUGCUAUGAUUGUAAGUGUUGGAAAGUCUUGAGGUGACAAAUAGAAUCCCAUAGUAGUUUUUGUAUCAAUUGAGGAUCUAUAAAUCUAAUUUUUUU